rnacentral:rRNA from 1 species
UACGAAGGGGGCGAGCGUUAUUCGGAAUCACUGGGCGUAAAGCGUGCGUAGGCUGUUCGGUAAGUCAGAAGUGAAAGCCCAAGGCUCAACCUUGGAAGCGCUUUUGAAACUACCGGGACUCGGAUUUGGGAGAGGAUAGCGGAAUUGUCAGUGUAGCAGUGAAAUGCGUAGAUAUUGACAGGAACACCAGUGGCGCAAGCGGCUAUCUGGACCAACAUCGACUGAGGCACGAAAGCGUGGGGAUCAAACAGG